rnacentral:lncRNA from 1 species
GUUACACCAAAAAAGAAAAAUUUAAGCACGGCUCUGAUGAAAACAAUGAUAUUAUAUACAGUACUAUAUAGAUGACCCAAGUAGACAGAAGUAUACAGAAAUAUAAAGUAAAUAUUUAUUUUAAAUAUUAGUUGUUCAUUGACUAAAAAGAAAGAGAAAGUGAAAGAAGAUAAAGAAAAUCGCUAAGUCUAAGUUUAAGUUUACAAAAAAAAAAAAAAAAAAAAAAAAAAAAAAAAAAAAAAAAAAAAAAAAAAAAAAAAAAAAAAAAAAAAAAAAAAAAAAAAAAACCGCUAAGUCUAGAUAUUUUAUUGCAUGUAAUUGAGCCAAAAGUAAACGAUAGAGAAAAGGAGAGUCUUACCUUUAGUGUCUGCGAAAGGCAGAGUCUCUCUUUA